GAAUCGUAAAUCGAAGAUCCGCCUAAAGGUCUUCGACAUAGAAAGCCACCUGACCCGAAGGAGGGGAGUUUAUCCGACCGUCGGUACCGGGUGCGAAGAGCUGAUAUUGCUUUGGGAUGCGAUAUUGCUCUCAGAGCCGCUCAACGUUCGGUUUUGAAAAUAAAGAAGCCUCCACUAUCGGAUCCAAUGGGGAGUUGUC
rnacentral:lncRNA from 1 species